UUUAUAGUUUUGACCUGGCUCAGAUUGAACGCUGGCGGAAUGCUUUACACAUGCAAGUCGAACGGCAGCACGGACUUCGGUCUGGUGGCGAGUGGCGAACGGGUGAGUAAUGUAUCGGAACGUGCCCAGUCGUGGGGGAUAACGUAGUGAAAAUUACGCUAAUACCGCAUACGAUCUAUGGAUGAAAGCGGGGGAUCGCAAGACCUCGCGCGAUUGGAGCGGCCGAUAUCAGAUUAGGUAGUUGGUGGGGUAAAGGCCCACCAAGCCAACGAUCUGUAGCUGGUCUGAGAGGACGACCAGCCACACUGGAACUGAGACACGGUCCAGACUCCUACGGGAGGCAGCAGUGGGGAAUUUUGGACAAUGGGCGCAAGCCUGAUCCAGCCAUUCCGCGUGCAGGAUGAAGGCCCUCGGGUUGUAAACUGCUUUUGUACAGAACGAAAAGGUUUCUACUAAUACUAGGAGCUCAUGACGGUACUGUAAGAAUAAGCACCGGCUACCUAC
rnacentral:rRNA from 1 species